AACGAACGCUGGCGGCAUGCCUAACACAUGCAAGUCGAACGAAGGCUUCGGCCUUAGUGGCGCACGGGUGCGUAACGCGUGGGAAUCUGCCCUUAGGUUCGGAAUAACAGUUAGAAAUGACUGCUAAUACCGGAUGAUGACGUAAGUCCAAAGAUUUAUCGCCUGAGGAUGAGCCCGCGUAGGAUUAGCUAGUUGGUGUGGUAAAGGCGCACCAAGGCGACGAUCCUUAGCUGGUCUGAGAGGAUGAUCAGCCACACUGGGACUGAGACACGGCCCAGACUCCUACGGGAGGCAGCAGUGGGGAAUAUUGGACAAUGGGCGCAAGCCUGAUCCAGCAAUGCCGCGUGAGUGAUGAAGGCCUUAGGGUUGUAAAGCUCUUUUACCCGUGAUGAUAAUGACAGUAGCGGGAGAAUAAGCCCCGGCUAACUCCGUG
rnacentral:rRNA from 1 species